rnacentral:rRNA from 1 species
GACGAACGCUGGCGGCGUGCCUAAUACAUGCAAGUCGAGCGGAGUUAUUCUUUCGGGGAUAGCUUAGCGGCGGACGGGUGAGUAACACGUAGGUAACCUGCCUGUAAGACCGGGAUAACAUUCGGAAACGAAUGCUAAUACCGGAUACGCGAUUUCCUCGCAUGGGGAGAUCGGGAAAGACGGAGCAAUCUGUCACUUGCAGAUGGACCUGCGGCGCAUUAGCUAGUUGGUGGGGUAACGGCUCACCAAGGCGACGAUGCGUAGCCGACCUGAGAGGGUGAUCGGCCACACUGGGACUGAGACACGGCCCAGACUCCUACGGGAGGCAGCAGUAGGGAAUCUUCCGCAAUGGACGAAAGUCUGACGGAGCAACGCCGCGUGAGUGAUGAAGGCUUUCGGGUCGUAAAGCUCUGUUGCCAGGGAAGAACACUUGGGAGAGUAACUGCUCUCAAGGUGACGGUACCUGAGAAGAAAGCCCCGGCUAACUACGUGCCAGCCGCCGCGGUAA